UCUCCCCAAAUUGUUCGCUGCCCAUAUCAAACGAGCAUAUGCGGAAGAUAUUGUCUAGACGCCAAGAGAGCCAAUAAUAUACCCCGUUGAGAUGUGUAGCACCAAUGGGCUCGUGUAAGUUACAACAGUCAGGGAAAUCAGGUCUCAGGUUCUUCCAUGAGUUGUUGCGUAUGGAAUAGACACUGACAAAGCAAUUACAGGAAACGCCCAGUCCCCAGUCAUCCCAAAAUUUUCUAAUACAUAGAACCUUAUAAUCUCGAGUCAAUGGGUCAAACCCCAAUGCAAACUGAUCAUCAUGAUCUUUGAAUGGCUGAGGCUCAAAGGACACAGGAGGCAGAGGCCAGAACUCCCUGGUGGCAGGAUUCCACAAAGCCAAGCGAGCAUUGUCUUCAUCCAAAAACGCUGCUUUUUCCACCAAGAAUAGGCCAUCAACUGGGCCAACAAUGGACAUGAAAUCAGAGACCCUCCAAAGCUGAUGGACAGUUUUUUGUUCAGGGGAAACACCUUGAACUAUUUUGGCAGGGAGCAAGGAAAAAGCAAUGGACUUUGAUUUAUCCAGAAGUGUUAAGUUACAAAUGAGUAGAUGGGCAUGAUUAUGCUUGUGACGAAAAUGCAUUUCUACAAAACUUGGACUUGUGAUGAGAGCAUACCAAUGUUUGCACACACAUUUGAAACGCACAAGUGAUUCCACAGGCAACCUUAAUAAAACAUCCACUAAUAAAUCUUUUGGUAAAUGACGUCUACCAGCCAUAAUGGUGUUCCCAAUUUAAUCUUCUGUGAAACAAAAUGUCAAGAAAAAUUGAGUAGUACUAUUAUGAUGUGAUCAAAGUAUCAACUAAAAAGACAAAAACAAAUAGAAAAAUGAAAUUCAUAAAAGGCAACAAUUCUCCCACAGUGUCAUUAAGAAACAAAAUUUUGAAAAGUGCUCUUAAAAGAUUUGUAGUCUUCCCAUUUCAUCUGCUUUUCAUUAGGCAACCAAAUGAUCCCUCUAAAUCACAACUUAGCAUAUAUAGCAAUUCUACAAGUAAAUACACAACAAUUUCGACUAACUUGGAAAUGGUUUAACUUAACACAACUUUCAAAUAAUCCUAGCAAAUGAAAAAUGCAAAGAAUGGUCAAAACAUCAUUAUUAGUACAAAUUUGGGCACAAAGUAUAAAUUUUAUGGGUAAAAAUUCACCAAAGUUGCAAUAAAUAGUAUAUGAACUCGUAACUUUAAAAAUAUAAAUAAGCUUGGGUUUGAUUUGGUUAGACAAUAUGUGGUUGGUAAAUAAGGAUCAAUAUGAAGUCAUGAUUUUAAAUGCAAUUUGAGAUCCCAAAUUCUCCAACAACAAAGAAAAAAACAUGAUUUUUUCGUAUUUAUGAGAUAAAAAAUAGUAACUAAAACAAUCCGAAUAACAAAACUUCAACUUCAGAUCAUUAUUUCAUAUCACAUGUCCAUACGGUCCUAAGUUCAAUGCUAAGAAGUAUAAAAGUUGAACCCAUAGAGUUUGAAUCCCAAAGUGAAUUGGGAUACAAAAACCAUAAUAGAAACAGAACAACAAAACCCUAUAUUAUCACCAAAAUAGAGAAAAAUGAAGAGAAAUUAAAAAGCUAACCUUGUAAGCUGAGGAAGAAGAAUGAGAAAUGAGAGUAGUGAAGAAGAGUCAAAAACGUUGUCAAUUUAUUGUACUAGGAUAACCUCUGGGUUGGCAGUCGGCAGAUAGCAUCUCCUUUUUCUCUUUCUUUUUUCUUUUUAUGUUUUAUGGUAGAGAAAAUGACAUAAACAGUCGCUUAACUAUAAGAGUAAGUCUAAAGUGGUUCUUUAACUAUACAAUUAAUGGAUUUAGUUCUUUAAGUGUAUAGUUAAGGAACCAUUUUAGACCUAUUUCUAUAGUUAAGGGACUGUUUAUGUCAUUUUCUCUUUUAUGGUACCUACCUACUUUUAUUUAUAUUCUUUUCUCUUUUUUUGGAGACUAAGAUUUUUAUAUUUUAUUUGUUUUGAUUUUUCAAAUGGUGUUUGAUAUUUGUAUUGGAGUCCAUUUAUUUUGGAUUCGCAUUGGGUAGGACCCAUUUGAUAAGAAUCUUUUAAUACUCGUAACUUGAAUUUGAGACCUCUAAAUUAAGAGAGGACCAGACUCAUCUACUGCACUAUAUACUAUAUAAUACUCCCUCUGUUCCUAAUUACUUGUCCACUUUUCCUUUUAUAGGUUGUCCAUUUUGAUAAAUCAAGAGAGGACAAAAUAAUUUAAUAAUUUUACAUAUUAUACCCUUAAUUAAUCACUUUUGAAAAAGGUACAAUUGCUUGAAAAUCUUAAAUUUUUAAUCCAUUCACUUCAUAAUUAAUAGGGGUGAAAUGGUAAACUCACUAUGUCAAUAAUUGCUUUCUUUUUUUUUUCUUUUUCUUUUUUUAAAGUAACUCCAUUGAUCAUUGAUGUGCAAAACUUACAAUUUGAGUUUGGCAUACCAAACUUUGUACAUGAUCAUUGAGGGGAGUUCACUAAGCUAUACUUAGUCAAAAACCUAUGGGGGAUCGUAGAUGAUAUGGGAUGGUUUGUUCAUUUUGAUCCUGAAAGAGUGAAUAUCCCCAUUUGUCCAUAUUGACUAGCCCCUUUACUUGAUUGGGAAGCUCAGUAUGAGAGUAGAAGACAUGGAUUGACUCAAAAUUAUGGCUCAUGCUUGCCAAUUUAUCAGCUGGUCUAUUGGCUUCUCGAAAACAAUGCUUGAUUUCAAAUCCAUUCUUUUCAACUAACUCUUGGAUUUCAUUGAUGAUGUGUAGAAUCCUCCAAGGCACUUUCCAUUCCCUUCUGACGCAUUUGGUAAUGAGGAGAGAGUCGGCUUCUCCAAUGAUCACACUAUGUCCAUUAUUUACACACCAUUUUAUGCCAAACAACACUGAAGUUGCUUCUGCCAUGUUAGAUGCUCCUGGUCCCAGAGGUAUUGAGUAAGCACAAAUAAUUCUUCCUUCAUUGUCUCUGACCACUCCCCCUCCUCCACAUAUACCACGUAAACAACUCCCAUCACUAUUUAACUUAACAAUGUGAGGGGGGGAGGCUUGUUCCAUUUGAUAGCUCUGGAAACUCUUUGCUCAAUGUUUGCUUCACAAGCAUUGCAGAUUGCACUCCAUUCCUCUCCUAAGUUGGCUCUUCUAAACUUCAUUUUUAGAACCUGCACAAGAGUAUUUAGAACAUUAGUCUUGGUCCUAUAGAAGGAUACCCUCAAGUUUUCAAACUUUCUACUACAUUUUGCUUUCCAUAUCUCCCACACUAUGAUUAAAGGAAGAAUUUUGGUUAUAUAGGUAGCAAAAAUGUUGUGGGACUUGUAGUUCCACCAAUUAAGUAACAUCAUCUUGUAGCUCCUGCUGGUGUGAUCGAUUCCUAGAGGACCUGCAAAAAAACUCCAAAUUCUUUUAGCGUGGUCACCUUGACAGAAAAGAUGGUUAGUGUCUUCUAUGAUAUGAUCCAUAUUGUUGUUGUUACAAUAAUAGCAGGUACAAUCAACUUGAAUACCAAACCUGGAGACUCUUUCAUUGGUAGAAAGUUUAUAUUUAAUGACUCCCCAGUUGAGGAAGGAGAUUUUGAAAGGAAUAUCCUCAUGCCAAAUGUUUUUUAUAAAAUUGUUACUGUUACUUUUCUGCCUAUAAUUGCUCCAGGAGGAUUUAAUAGUGAAAUUUCCAUUGGUGUUAGGGAUCCAAAUGGCUUUGUCUCUUCUGUUGCUAUGCAACACAUUAUUGAGCUCUCUAAUUUUAUCUUUAAUGUCCGCAUCAGGUUGAUUAUGAAGCUUGUCCCAAACCCACAUUUCAUCAAUGUAGACAUCUUUGAUACUGAUUUGUUGUUGUUGUACAUUAUUAGGAAACAAAAGAUAUAGAGGGCCAACAUUAGUCCAAUUGUCAUACCAAAAGUCCACCUCUCCUCUCCCAAUGAUCCAUAUGAUGUUCUUGUCCACCUCUUCUUUAAUGUUGCAAAGAACUUUCCAACUUUGUGGUUAUCCUCUGCUCCAUUGGGACUUGAUAGGGUGCAUAUUGUUGAAGUACUUAGCUUCCAUGAAAUUCUUCCAUAGUGAAGUAGUGGUUCUGAGGUUCCACCAUUGUUUUGUUUGAAAAGCAUGGCACGUGUCUUCAAGAUUUCUGAAGUUCGCUCCACCCUCCUCAUAAGGGUAGCACAAGUUCUUCCAAGAGGCCCAAUGAUACUUACCUCUAGUGUCUUGCCCUGUCCAAAAAAAUCCAAUAAUGUACUUCUCUAUAAGCUCAAUGGUACCUUUGGGAGAGUUGGUAGCUGCAAAGAGAUGAAUUGGCAUCGCAAGGAGUACAUGUCUAAUCAAAAUAGCUUUUCCACCGGUGGAAAGAAAUUUAGUAUGCCAACCUCUAAUCUUGUUAAUGAUCUUGCUUACCAUAUCUGAGUAGUGAGAGAUCUUUUUUUUACCAGUAAUAAGAAGGCAACCAAGAUAUCUAAUAGGAAAGACCUGAUGUUUCAUACCAGUAAUGAUUUUGAGCCUGUUAAUAGUAGCAACUUUGGUAUUAUUGGCCACUGCAAAACAACUUUUUUCCUUAAUGAGUAGUUGACCAGAAACUUCCUCAUAUAUUUUCAGAGUUUUAAGCAUCAUUUCAAGAGGUUUCUUGCUACCAUUACAAAAAAGAAUAGUAUCAUCUGCAAAGGAUAAGUGAUUUAUCCUUGGGCCAUUAGUGUUCAUAUAGAACCCCUUGUAGCCUUGUUUAUCAUACAAGUUAUUUAGCAUUUUAGAGAGUAAUUCAGCACUGAUGAUAAAUAAGGAUGGGGAUAUUGGAUCUCCUUGUCUCAAGCCUCUACUGGAAUUAAAAAAACCAUGUCUUCUCCCAUUAACAAUAACAGAAUACCAGUUACUGGAUAUGAAAUUGUAGAUCAGAUGAGUCCACCAUUCAGAGAAACCAAAUGUCACGCCCCGAGCCUACACCCUGGGCGGGACCGGCACUCGGAGACCAUUGCUGGCCCCAAGCGAACCCUUGGCCUAGCUUUCUUAACUCGAAACUUGAGACUCUUUACUUGACUUGAAACUCUAUACUCUUUGCUUGACUUGAAACUCUAUACUUAACUUGGAACUUGAGCCUUAGAAUGAAGUUAAAACGUUCAAUGAAGACUCUUGAAAAGCUUUAAAGACUUGCUUUGACUUGCUUAACUCCCUCAUGAUGUUUAGGAAUGAUUUGGGACAGCCAAACUUAAGAAAAUCUCCGAACAUAAUUUCUGAAAACAGUGGAGUCCGCGUCCUGUCCGCGACGCGGAGCAGAUUUUGUUCACAGAGGGAACAAGUCCGCGACGCGGACGUGCUCCUCGCAAACUGCCCGACUUUCUCCUUCACGUCUCCAACUCUAAAUCCUCUAACCUCAAAGGUUCCAGCCCCAAUUCACUUAGAAACAUGAAAUCCCUCAACAUUCAAUAGAUUUCAACUCAAAACCCCAACCGGAAACAAGUCCCAACUCAUCAAGAAUCUCAACAUUACAAUCAACAACUAUACCAACAAUAAUUUCAACAACUAACAACUUUAACAACUCCAACAACUUCAACCACAACAACUAACAACUUUAUCAACAAAGCCAAUCCUUUCUUGAUAAGUAAAAGGGGCUAGGUGUGUGGGGGAAAGGAUCACCCAACACUAAAAGCUCACAUACCUUGAUAGGGAUCACCCCCGACGAAAACCCACGAUGAUCUCCUCUUCUUCUCUUCUUCUCUUCUUCUUCUCUCAAAACCCUCACUCUCACUCCUUUUAAAAUGGUAAAACUGAUCAAAAUGAUCAGCCUAACACAUUUAUAUAACCCAAAAUAAAAGGCUAGGGAAAAGACCAAAAUACCCUUAAUUUUCCGGUCGGAUUCCUUGCCCAACUGCCCAAAUUUCAAUGGCCAUAACUCGCUCAUACGAAUUCGGAAUUGAGCAAACUCGGUGGCGUUGGAAAGAUCGUUCCACGAACUUUGAAACCAUAACUGGAACUCCACCUAAAUCAUCUUGAGCUAAAAUUUAUGGCUGUUCAAAGUUGGCUAAAAAUUCACAUUUUUCCAUACUUAGCCAAAUUUCCAAAACUUUAAAAUUCUUUCCAAAAAUGAAAAUUUCCAAUUCUAAGCCUCUUCAAUUAUUUCACAUUGCCGGAUGUUACACCAAAUCUCUUUAGAGCCUGGCAAAGGAACUCCCAAGAGACUCUAUCAUAAGCCUUGGCCAUAUCUAAUUUUAGCACAACAUUUCCUCCUCUAGCAAGCUUCUUAAUAUCAUUGAUAAUUUUUUGUGCAAGAAGGAUAUUUUCAGAAAUUCCCCUCCCUCUGAUAAAACCAGAUUGGUUCUUGGAUAUGAUUUUGGGGAGUAAGCUGGAGAUUCUGUUAUUGAGAAUUUUAGAAAUGACUUUACUGAAUACAUUGCAAAGGCUAAUAGGUCUCAGGUCAGUAAACUUCUGGGGGUGGUCUAUCUUGGGAAUCAUAACCAAACAAGUAUGAGUGAUAAACUUAGGAAGUUUUGCACCCUGGAAGAAAGACCCAACUGCUUUGUAGAGGUCAUAACUUAUGAUGUUCCAAGCACUUUGAUAAAAAUGUCCACUUAGUCCAUCUGAACCUGGAGCACUAUCUUUAUCAAUGGAAAUUAUGCAAUCUUUAAUCUCCUGCAUAGUGGGGAUAGAUGCUAACAUAGAGUUAUCAUCUUCAGUUAUGCACCUCUCAAUACAAUCUAGAGCUUCAAAAUUGGAAUGAUGAGUGUCUUGAGUAAACAUAUUUUUGAAAUGCCUAACAGCAGCUUCAGCAAUGCUAUUAUUUCCUUCAAUCCAUUGAUCAUGUUCAUCCAUAAUUUUUGAGAUAUUCAAUCUCCUUCUCCUUUCUUUCAUAAUAUUGUGGAAAUAGGUAGUGUUGGCAUCCCCUUCUUCAAACCAUUUAGCUCUGGCAUUCUGUCUCAAGAUACAAUCUUGAAUCUUGAGAUAUCUAACGAAUUCAGCCUUACAUCUAGAGAGCUCACUUCUGUUCUCUGGGGUGUUGUUGUUCACACAAGUAUCCUCAAGAAUUCUGAUAUCUGCUUCUAAUUUUUUUGGAGUUUCAUAAAUAUCCCCAAAAGUUAGUUUAGACCAGAUGCUAAGAUCUUUACUCAUCCUUUUGAUUUUUUGAUGAAGAAUGUACAUAGGAUUUCCAUAGAUAUUUCCUUCCCAACUUUCUUGUACAGUCUUAAGAUAGUCAGGGUGAUCAGUCCAAAAGUUCAGAAAUUUGAAAUAUCUUAUGAAGUGGGUGGUUUCAUUUGUCAUCUUGACUAGAAGGGGAGCAUGGUCAGAGCUGGUUCUAGACAAAUGAGUCACUGAAGUGUUAGAGAUAGAGUCAAACCAGCUAGAGUUAUAGACUUAUCUAUCAAGUCUCUUCCAUAUGGUAGUAGGAGGAUCCCUAUUAUCACACCAAGUGUAUAUAGAACCAUUGUAGCCUGCAUCUUGAAGCCCACAGUCAUUAAGACAUUCUAAAAAAUCAAAGCUUUCUUCCAUUCUGUAGCUUCUACCUCAUUUUUUCUCCUCAAUAGAAGUGAUAACAUUGAAAUCCCCAAUGGCACCCCAGAUUCCUUGGAUAUUGUUAGCCAUUUCUCUCAAAUCAUUCCAUAGUUCUCUUCUUAGGUCUUCGGUGCAUUUAGCAUACACUACAGUCAAGAAUAUGGGCUGAUUGUUAAGAUGGGUGGCUUUGAUCAGAACAUGUUGUUCUUUAUCUUGAAGGAUGGUGAUGUCCACUUCAACUGUCCAAAGAAUCCAGAUCUUAUUAGAGCAAUUGCAGUAACUAUGAUCCAUUCUUAACUUCCUUUUGAAUCUUUCCAUCUUUCUACUGUCCACCAUUGGCUCUUGUAGACAUAUUAAAGGGAUCUGAAACUGUUGCUGAAAUGUUUGGAGUCUUUCUAGAUAGCCUGCUGAUCUUAUCCCUCUUUUAUUCCACGAUAGUGUAUCAAUCAUGAGAUAUAUUCAAGGGUAGAAGUAGUUUGAGUGUUUUUGAGUUCUUCUGUCAUGGUGUGACUUUGAUCAUAAAUCUUGCCAAGAUUCUGAUUGUUCCUGGGAGAUAGGUUGUUGUAAACUCUAAUGUUUUGUUGAACUUGAGAGGUUAAGCUGUUACUAGUUUCUUGAGAUUUUGAUCUGUUAGUUCCUCUAAUGGCCUCAUCAUCUGACAUGGUUUGGCCUUCUUCUCUGGUAUGAGUAAGCUCAAACUCUAUUUCUAUUACUUCCACAUCAUGAUAAACUUCUUCAUAUUCAUCUCUUUCUCUAGGCUCUCUGUGUUAUUUAUCCGUGGGUUCAUGGUUGUUGUUGUAUCCACCUUCUUGUUUCUUAUACAUUCCAUGAUUUUCAGUAUUUACUUCUCUUUUCCCAUUGGCUCCCUAGCUAAUAGUGUCUUCGCGAGUUCCCAUUUUGUUAGUGAGUGAGACCCAUUUUGUAAGCUGAUCUGCCUCUUUUUUCCUAAUAAUUCCAUCAUCAUCUCUGAAUUCACCUUGGAGUGUGACUUCUUUCGGGAUAGAAACUUCUCCAGUGAACUUUUUCCUUUUAUUUUGUAUGUUUUUUAUGUCUUUGGGAUCUUUGAUAACUAAACUCAACAUUUCGCCUUGUAGUUCUGCCUCAGGAUUGGUAAUACUAGCAGCAUUUCCACUUCUUGUACUUCUAACGUUGAGCUUUGGUUGGUGUCUUUUGCUAGCCUUGCCUUCUUUUUCUUUUUGAGCUUUGUCCCACCUUGAGCUUCUCACUUGAUUUUGCUGAUUUGCUGAAGUAUCAUGUUCUUCCAGGUUCACUUGGCUAGGUUCUGCAUCUUCCAUGUCCCCAUUUUCCUUGUCUUGGAGGAUAUUGAAGAAGUUACUGGUUACUUUGGUCGUUUUGUUGUCAAUAGUAAACUUUAUCCCAUUUGGUGUCUCCUUUGAAAUGGUUUCCUUUCCCCUUCGCUUUACCACAUCAUGACAUCCCUCAUCUUUGUUUUUAGUGGGAUUAGAGCUUUCCUCCAUGGGCAUGGUGUUUGAUCCAUUUUGUUGCUCCAUUGAUCCAUGUUUUUGUUGCCAUUGAAGGCUCUGGCUUCCUCUUUUGGCGUGGGUAUCUACAUCCUCUUUUCGUUUUUCCUCUUUGUUAGAUUGUUGUUCUCUAACCUUAGUUGUUCCUGUGUGGACCACCUUACAGUUUUCAGUAGAGUAGAAUGGUUCUGAACUUUGCAGUGGGAGCAAUAGAUUGGCAGUGUUUCAUAUUCAAUUUUUUGCUCAAAAGUCUCUUCUUCACCAGAAAGAUUUCUUACUUCUACUCUCACUGUAUGGAUCAGAGGUUUUGCAAGAUCAAUUUGAACUCUUAACUUUGCUGUGGUUGGUCUUGUUUUCGUAGUCGUCGUUUUAUCCAUGAUCAACGGGACCCCUAUGGGAUCCACAAUUCUACAAAGGGCGUCCCAUUCAUAGUAAUGCCAAGGUAAAUCCGGGAGAUUUAUCCACACAGGUGCUGUUAUGAUCUCGAAUUCAAAUGGAAAAGAAAAUAAUCAACACAAUAGUUUUUGGGAUUUUCUGAUUUAUAACUGGAAAAUUGAAAACAAGGAUAUCUACUAAAUGGAAUUAAAACUACAUUUAACAGAAACUAACUGAAGAACUCGCCAUAGCCAUAAGGACCUGCAGAUUUAGAUGAGAAAAGAAUUUAGAAGGAGAUUGAAAAGAAGAGAAGAGAAGAGAGUCUAUUAGAAGAGAGAGAGAGGAGCACGAGAAUAAUACCAAUUUGAUCAAAUGCCCCUUUUGCUCUUCCAGGAACUUAGUUAUAGGAUGCUCACGUGCAAUCACAGCCCUUCAACUUCAUUAACUCCAAUUAAAUCUCGUACGUCUAGGUGUUAUAAUUCUAUUCGUCAUUUCUUUAUUCUUCACUUAGCUCAUUUAUUCAGGUCAUGACAUUCCCGCCCGGAUCAAACAAUCCUUGACCCCAAGGAUGAUUAUCAAAAAUUUGUCCCGUCCAGGUUCAUUACAAUCCUUCCUGCUUGAAAUCAACAUUGUCCUCAAGGUUGUUGUCCACACCCGCAUAUCAAAAACCAAAAUCAUCAGAUUAUUUCUCGCUAGAAUUCCUAAGGUAAUAUGCCUAUUUGCUGUGAACACUUCUCUCGCAAAAGCUUCAAUUAAAGACUUGGAUUGAUUGACCUUUGCUAUCAUUGUGUCCCUUAUAUCACGAAGCAAAGAUAGGCUAGUACUUUUUCUCAGUAUUGUUUCCAUUUUAGUCUGCAGCUCCGCUAUUCUGUCAAAGAGCUUUUCAGCCUCUGUUGUAGAGAUGUGGAGCUGCUUUUGGAGGUCAACGCUUCCAAGACAACCCAGUGGAAUUUCAGUGCGACAUGGUGCAAAUAAGCCCACAAAUAUUUGACCCUCAGAAUGUACAUGAAUAUGCUUUUUGGAAUUUUCCGCAAAUGGCAAGGAAAACACACAUUUUGCAAUAUUUGAUAGGCAUAAAUGUUCUCAAAGUAUCUCAAAAUCAUUCCAGUGGCACAAAGAAAAAGCAUUAUAAGCUGAUAGUAAAAUUCCUGUUGUAUACUUGGGAAUACCAGAUGUAGAAAUGACCAAGUUGUGCUCAGAGUCACUCAAAGAACAAUGCUUCUUUAAAAAAGAUAUGCCCGGAUCAAAUUGAAAUAGAUGUGAAAAACCUCGAGUUUCAGGUGUUGUAGCAAUCAAGAAAUACAAUUUCUUACCAUGGAAACAACACUCCACUUCCUUAGUGUUAAGAAUAGACCAACAAAAGUUGCCUAGUUGCUGAUGUAAAAGGUGUAGUGCAAGUUUCUCCAUCAACAGAAAAACUAUAUAAGCAAUAUUUGAGCUGACUUCGCUUUCAUACACUCGACUCCAAGAGAGAAUAGGGAAGAAUGAUGUCACAUAUCCUGUGAAGAGCAUGUGUGCUGAUGUAAAAUAUUGAAAUGUUUUAUUUUUAUAGGAUGCAACCCAGCAGCUUCCUUCUCCAGGCCAAUCGACAUACCACCUGGGUCAAAAGUCAAAUACAAACCAUACACCAUUGUUCUUACUGUUGCAGCUCCAUCUCUUAGUUUAGCAGAGUCGUUGGUGUUUGAUAAAAGGAUAUGUAGGCCAACCACAUCAACUAUAGAUGUACCCCUCGCAUAUUCAACUUUCCAAAAUGUACCCAGGCUGAAUGCCCCUAAUUUAACUUCAGUUUUGGUUGACCAAUUCACUUGCAGCCCUGUUCGAGUAAUUUGUAACCAUGUAGCUUUGCCAUCUUUAAGUCUAUUACCGAAGUUAAAAGCACCAGAAUAUAUUGCAACAAGGAGGAUAAAACCAAAUGACCAAGGCUGACAUUGUCUACAGACAUGUUGUUCUGCCAAAUAAGCCUUUACUCUAGCAGUCGACAAGUUUCUAGCCAUGACUGAACCUCUUCUUUGAGAAGCUUUCCGAAUUGUACACCCAUCAACUGACCAAUAAUGUAUAGACAAAUAAAUUGUGGCUAUCCUUUUAGAGUCAUCAUGCAAGGUUAAUGGCAAAAUAGAGCUCCAAAAUAACAUAAUCUUCUUACUGGACGAUGUUGUUACGUGUAAAGAGAGACUUCUUGUACCACUGUAAACAUGGCUAUAUGUUGGAAUGGUAGCAACUGAACAUAUAGAAUCAAUAUGGACAACAGGAGAAUGCAUAAACCACUGCCAUCCCGUAUCCCACACUCGGUUGAUGUUAUCAGAAGAUCUAUGCAAACAAACCAUGCUAGUCAUAUCUAUCAAAAUUUCUCGAACAUUACUUGUGUGACCAGUUAACUUCAAGGUCUUCAAACUUAUCCCUGGAUCCCAUAUGGGAACAACCAGUCCAUUUCCAACUAAUUCAAGAGAUAACUUGGUCUUAAUUCCUACGAAUACAUGUACUAUGCGGACAUGAUUCCUUUCAGACAUUUCAUCAAACAAGUGGGAAGCAACUCUUAGUUUCAUUUCCUUCAAUUUCUCGUUCAUUACUACAUAUCUAGAGACUCGUCUACUAACCCAAAAAACCUCACCAAUUUGUUGCAAAUUUAACUCAUGAGCGAGAAAGUAGACAGAUGUUUUACCUGCUAUUUCAACCUUCACAGUUGUCAUGAUAAACUUGAUCUUUGCCAUUUUUUGAAUUUGUAAAGGUGCAAUUGAAAUAGCUUCUAUGGUUCGCUUCUCUGCCUCAAUUUUGAUAGAGUCGUUCAACGCAUUGCUCUUCUCCAUCACCUCAUCAAAACAAAAGUAACAAUGGCAAUCAAUGCUGCGUAUGCAACCAUAGAGGCAAGAGUUACAAUCACAAUCAAUGCUGCAUAUGCAAUCCUCGUACUUCUGCAAUUGCUUAACAUUCACAACUAUUCCAGUCACUCCUUCCGUAGCCAAAGUAUUAUAUGACACCGCCAACCUCUUUUUUGAUUCCUGGAACAUCUUCAUCGAAUUACUACCCACAGUCGAGAUAGGUUCGUUGCUCUGAUACCAAUUGUUAUGAUCUCGAAUUCAAAUGGAAAAGAAAAUAAUCAACACAAUAGUUUUUGGGAUUUUCUGAUUUAUAACUGGAAAAUUGAAAACAAGGAUAUCUACUAAAUGGAAUUAAAACUACAUUUAACAGAAACUAACUGAAGAACUCGCCAUAGCCAUAAGGACCUGCAGAUUUAGAUGAGAAAAGAAUUUAGAAGGAGAUUGAAAAGAAGAGAAGAGAAGAGAGUCUGUUAGAAGAGAGAGAGAGGAGCACGAGAAUAAUACCAAUUUGAUCAAAUGCCCCUUUUGCUCUUCCAGGAACUUAGUUAUAGGAUGCUCACGUGCAAUCACAGCCCUUCAACUUCAUUAACUCCAAUUAAAUCUCGUACGUCCAGGUGUUAUAAUUCUAUUCGUCAUUUCUUUUUUCUUCACUUAGCUCAUUUAUUCAGGUCAUGACAGGUGCUAAAGAAUUUUCAGCAUUCGGUUUGAAAUUUGGGGUCCAUUUCAAAAUCUUCAUAUCAACAUCAUCAUUUAAGGCAAUAGAAUCUCUGGAAAAGAUAUCAUUGAAGUCUUCUUCAUUUUCAACAUCAAUAAAAACAUGAUAUCUAUCCUUAGCUCCAAUUUUAGCUUCCCCUUUGGUAGUGAUAACCUUAGUAAAAUCGGAUCUGAUUCUAUCGAUGGCUGGUUUUCCUCUAGAAAACUUACCGAUUAUUGUCCAUCGGCAGGUGUCCGCCAGAAGCUCGUGUUCCUCCUUUGUAAAUACCACGACUGCUUUGCCAUCUAUGAUUUCGUGCGCUCUUGGAGGGAGCAUUAUUUUCAGUUUUGAUCGAUUUCCAAUUCUGUAUCCUAGAGCACCUGCAUACGAGUCCUUUCUAUUGUGAUUGUGGGUUUGGUCUAUUUCCAUGAGCUUGGUUCUGAGAGGUGGAAAGUCCUCUGGUUGAGGCGGUCUAUUCUUGUUCGCCGGGUCUGGUGGGUCUGGAAAUUUGGGGUUGUUGCUUCCUCUGGUGUUACGUGUGUUACCCAUAGGGCUCAUCGGAGCUGGCCGGUGAUAGCCGUAACCAGCUCAAAAGAGCCGUUAGUGAUAGUUUGAACUUAACAGUGGAAAAAGAAAGUUGUACGGAGAGAAAAAUUUCUUUGUGAAAAAUAUAACCUUUUUGAUCGGAAUAAUUGCUUUCUUAAUAGAUGUAUCAAUUCAAAAGUAGACAAGUAAUUAGGGACAGAGGGAGUACAACUCAAUGAUAACCAACAUUGGUUGUGGUGCACUGGUGGGACUAUUUCACUCUUGAUCAGAAGUUUCGGGAUCGAGCAUAUGGAGAAAAUUUUGUUAGGAGUGUCACCCUCGAAAGGACCCUACAAUGCGCAAACGGGUUCGAGAUGAGAAAAUUUUGUUAGAAGUGUCACCUCGAAUGAGUUAUGCAGUGCGCGAUCUAAAUUUAGUCAAGGUUCCAAUGCGGACUCCGAACAUUGAGUGAGUGUAACGAUCCAUUUGAUCGUUUUGAGUACUAGAGCUUUUUAUUUCAUAAAAUACUUUCCGAUAGAUUUUAAAUGGGUAUUUUGGACUAUUCAUAACUAGAAUUAUGAAUUUAGUGGGAUAGUUUUAAUAACUAAUUUAGUUGAUGGUUAAAGAAGAUAACAUUAAAAUUAGUAGUGAUCCAUUUUUAUAAUUCGUUACAUCUAACAAUUAGGUUAGUAAAUAAUCUGUUGAAAUAAAGAAGACAAAUUAGAUGCUUGAGCGUAAAAACAAAUUGAGAAGAGGGCUUAUUUGUGCGGCGACUACAGGGAUCACUCGUAUUGGUAAGUUUCUUUAUUAAUUGUUACCGUGAAGAUUUUUGGAGGAAUAUAUUACUUCUGUAACAGUGAAAUCGUUAAGGGUGUAUUGGGUUGUUACGAUGGUUAAGUGCAUCAAGUCAUUGGCAGUAGGUUUCAAUUCUCGUGUGAAACAAUUUCAGGCAAUCAUUACAAUAAUUAUGUGGUAAUCAUAAAGUAAUUAUUAGGAGAUGUUAAUUGAGUAAUUGAAUUAUAUCAAAGGCAUAGCAAGUGUUGCUCAUAAGUGCUUAUUUCUCAGUGAUUAGUAUCGCUAAUAUAGGUUGGUUGUUCCUGCUAUUAUUGAUGUUGUUAAAAUUGGGUGAAAAUGUUGUGAGGUAUUCACGUGAGUUGGAGUUCUUGGCUAAUACCUCUUAAUGGUCAAUUAAUGAUUUGGACUAAUUCAUUACAGUUAUAUAGUAUAUAGAAGGGAUAAGGGUCUGAAAAAUACUUCAACUUUGGUCGGAUUUGUUGUUGCGAUACUAAACUUUCAUGAGGACUUAUUACCUCCCUAGAUUAUUUAAUACCGUAUUUUUUACCCCCUGAACUAUUUAAUAUAAUUUUAGUAUCUCGUUAUAAAUUAUGUUUUGAUAUAUGGAGAUAGGUAAUUAAAUAUUAGGUGUAUUGUAUUAGUUCAAUACCAUUAAAGUUAUGCUAAUUGGAGGAAGUAAGACUUACCCUUAGGGUUAAACUAUAGGAAAAUUGAUUAUGGAAUCAGGUAAAUUUUUGGGUCUAGACUAGACAUAUAGUAACAUGGGUGUCUAUAAACUCGNNNNNNNNNNNNNNNNNNNNNNNNNNNNNNNNNNNNNNNNNNNNNNNNNNNNNNNNNNNNNNNNNNNNNNNNNNNNNNNNNNNNNNNNNNNNNNNNNNNNNNNNNNNNNNNNNNNNNNNNNNNNNNNNNNNNNNNNNNNNNNNNNNNNNNNNNNNNNNNNNNNNNNNNNNNNNNNNNNNNNNNNNNNNNNNNNNNNNNNNNNNNNNNNNNNNNNNNNNNNNNNNNNNNNNNNNNNNNNNNNNNNNNNNNNNNNNNNNNNNNNNNNNNNNNNNNNNNNNNNNNNNNNNNNNNNNNNNNNNNNNNNNNNNNNNNNNNNNNNNNNNNNNNNNNNNNNNNNNNNNNNNNNNNNNNNNNNNNNNNNNNNNNNNNNNNNNNNNNNNNNNNNNNNNNNNNNNNNNNNNNNNNNNNNNNNNUGUGAUUGAUUGCGUACUUGCUUCCGUUGUCACUUGUUCAUGUUGUUUGUUGCUUGCCACUUUGCUAAGUGUCAUAGUUGAUUUUAUACUAUUAUUCAUUACAUAUUAGUUUCUAUUUUGGGUUGGCCGAUGAUAUCUACUCAGUACAUGUUGCCCUGUACUGAGCCCUACUUGUGUUUUUCUUUGUUUUCUUUUUGUGGAGUGCAGCGAGUGUAUCAGUGACUUCGACUCGUCCUCAGCUCUAGCCAGUCUCCAGCACAUCAGGUUCCAGGGUGAGCUAUUCAUUCCAGCUCAUGUUGGAUUCUCUUGGUCGUGACAUGAUGUCCUUAGUUUUCGGACAUAAACUAUUUUAUUCAUUUAUUUUGGUGUCUUUAAUACUCUUAGACUUAGUAUUUGAAGAUUAGAUGUCCUUGAUGUGAUGCAUUUCAGAUUUUGGGGAUAAUAAGUGUUAGACUUUAGAGGUUUAUUUGAUUGGUUACUUUAAUAAGUUUUGAGCUUCUGCAUUAUUGUUGUUAUUCAUAGUUGAAUUAUUGAUAUAUGUUGGGAUUUGGAUUUCUUGGUUCGCCCACUUAGAAGGUUAAGUGUGGGUGCCACUCACGACUCAUUUUGGGUCGUGACAGUGAGAAACCAAAUAAAACUCAUUAUAUAUAAAAUAAAAUGUUUGAGGUAAGAAAAUUCUAUUCCUAUUGUUGCCUUUUGAAGUUUCAUGUACUGUGUAUUGGGAUUGAAAUAACAUGAAAAAUUCUAAUACUGUAUUUGUUUGAAAAGCCCUUCGUCUACUUUUGGUAAAUUAAAAAUGUUCAUUCCAUCAGUCAACAAGUCACACAUAAACUAAAUACAAUAAAUAACCUACUUGUCCCUAAUAUAUUCCUGCCCAUUCUUUUUUCGUUACAAUUUCUAUUUUUCUAAAAACUCCGUUUUUCAAUUGGGUUGAAUUCUUAUUGUGCAAAAAAAAUCAAAUAUUGCAACAUCUACCAUGGAUAGAUUUUUCAUUAAAUUAUUUGUAGUGUAUGAAAAAAUUAAUAUUUUUAACUAAAGUAUGUCACAAUUUAUUUACUCUUUUUGAUUUUUUAAAAAUAUUUCUACACUACUUCUAUUGUAAAUUAUGCAGGUAAUUUACGGACCAUAAAGCAAUAAACGGUUGUCCGAUUAGUAGGUGAGUUAUUCAUGUACUAAAAUCAGCCUAACUAGUACCACGUUUAGUAGCAUUUCAGUUGUUAUAAAUAAAAGGGAAAAGUAUUAAAAACACCCUAAACUUGGGUACAAAUUAUUAUUUACGUUCCCAAACUAUUGAUAGCCUUAAAAGCACCCCUCUAGUUGACUAACUAAACUUAGAUACACCCCAACCUGCCACAUGACAUAGCAAGUAGUCUCAAACUCUUGUAGGAGCAUAGGGCUUUUAAUAAAAACCGAGAGAAGUGUUGAAAGCACCUAAACUUAGCGAGAAUUUAGGGGUAUAUUUUUCACUUAUGUUGCUAGAUCGGGGGUGUAUUUCAAUUAGUCAUGUAAAGGGGUAUUUUAAAUUUUGUCAAUAAUUCAGGAUGAAACGAAUAAUUAGCACUGAAUUAAAAAAUGUUUUCACUACUUCUUUCUAAAUAAAAUUCAGCAUAACAAGUACAGUAUUCGAUUGCCAGUUUAAACCAAAUAUACGUAUAAGUUAUGAAGAAAACAUAUGUAUAAUUUAUGCAAGGCAGAAGAUGGAAUAACCAAACAUGGCAAAACUAAUACAUGCAUUAACUCCAAGUAGCAACCAAACAACCCCUUAAGUGCACACCCCUUUCGAACAACAUCAAUCCACAACACUUGAAAAUUUAACAAGUUUAACUUGGCACAUCUUGCAAGUAUUUCUAAAUAAAUGAAUUUUUAGCGUGAAGCAACCUCACUACUGCACCUCAACCCAUGUUGAUCUAAAAGUUAGAAAUUUAAAAGGCGCAAAGAAUGGUCAAAAUUGGGCAGGAUACAAUUUAGAAACAAAACCCUACAUCACCAAAUUCAAAAAAAAAAAAAAGUAUUACCGAAAGAAACUGAAAUCUAACCUUAUAGAAGUGACGCAGAAGAAGUGAUGGCGAUUUUGAGAGAAAAAUGCAGAAACGAGAUAGAUGGUAUCUCCUUCCUUCUCUCUUUAAUUUGUUACUACUUGUAGCAUGUAUGAAUUCGCUUAUUUUAAAAGCUCUUAGAUUUAAGCUUAAAACUAAAUAUUUAUACCAAGAAUAAUUAUUAAAAAAUGUAUUGUGAGUAAAAUAACUAUUUAGUUAAUUACUUUUAAAACAAAAUUACAUUUCAAUAAGAGAUCCCUUCCAAUAAUUUUUUUUAAAAAAAGAUAUGAGUUGUCGCAUGAGGAAUAGACACAGACAGAGACAUGAGGGUAAAUGACAUGUCCCAUAUAAUCUCGAAUCCAUACAACCUUAUAAUCUUGAGUCAACAGGUCAAACCCCAACCCGAAUUGAUGAUAAUGAUCUGAGAAAAAGUGCUCGAUCUCAAAAGGCGCAGAAGGCAGAGGCUGAAACUCUCUGGUGGCAGGAUUCCAUAAACGCAAGCGGAGACCGUCAUUAUAAAUUUGUUCCUGCACUAAGAAUAAGCCAGAAACUGGGCCAGCAACACACUUGAUAUCAGAUAAAUUCGGAAGGUGAAGGAGAACUUUUGUUCAGGAGUCACAUCCGGAACUAUUUUUUUCGGGAGCAAGAAGAACACCACAAACUUUACGAAGAUGGGUGGGAUCAUUGUUAUUUUUAAGUCGCAGACAAGGAAAUGGGCACCAUUGUACUUCUGAUGAAAAUGCUUCUCUUUAAAACUCGCACUUUUGAUGAGACCAUACCAGUGCUUGCGCACACAUUUGAAACGCAAAAGUGAUUCCAGUGGCAACCUCGAUAGAAUAUCAACCACCAGAUCUUCUGGAAAAUGACACUGACAAUCCAUACAGAUGGGUGUUUGCUUCCAAAUCUUUUACCUGGACAUAUAAGCAGAUCUCUUGCUUAGAAUAAACAGAAUGAAACAACUUACAAGCAUAAUGAAAGAGAACAAAUCUAGAAAACAUGAAUUAAUAGAACAAAAGUUCAACAAAGAAAUCAAGCAAAAGUGUUACCAUGUUAUCAAACUAAGCAAAAAAGAGUAGAUUACACAUUUGUCCGCUCAGCCAAAAGUAUGUAACAUCCACUAGUCAAUACUGUCAAAUUAGGACUGACACUCCAAAAACUAGCUCAAAGGAUUGCCUAAACCUUAUAAGGAGUCCAGAAAUCUCAUCUCGAUCCGGUGUGAGGUCAUUUUCAUUAGCAAAUACACAUAUAUCACAUGUACGGUAUACAUCUGCCCACGAUUUUUUUUCAAUGGGCAGCUAUUUAUGUUAUUUCUGUAGGAAACUGGAAAGAUGGGAACUCAUAUUAAAGAACUAGUCAUUUAGUUUUCUAUUGUAUUCAUUAGCCAAUCAAUGGUUUUCUUUUUGUUUUUUUUAACUCUCCAUCUCAAUUAAGAUACAACCAUUUUGCAGGUAAUUUAAGCAGCAUGAAACAGUAAAUAACAUACCCUUUUCGAUUAACAUCAAUCCACAACACUUGGAAAUGGAAGAAGCUUAACUUACCACAUCCUGCAGAUAUUUUUAACAAUUGAGAAACGGAAGAUGCUAAGAAUGGUCUAAAUGGAGGUGGAUCCAAUUUAAUUAAGAGCAAAAUCAUUACCAUUAAUAUAUAAGCACAUCUAUGUUGGUCGGACAAUUCAUAAAUAUUGCAGAGAGCGGUUCAGAUCCACCAAAAGUAAUAAUGCAUUUUUGGAGGAUCUGACAUGAGUGCGGCAACAAUUUUGGAGAUUCAGAAUAUAUUUGUGUAACUCUAACCAGCAAAACCCUAAUUUAGGAGUAAAAUCCAACAUCACAAAUAGUAAAAAUUCUAAAAAAAAAAAAAAAAGACUAUUUAGAAAGAAAGUGAAAGCUAAUCUGGAAAAGUUGAUGAAGAAGAGUCGGUGCGAUUGUGAGAAGGAAAAUAUGGAGAAAAGUGCAGAAAUGAGAUGAUCUCUCCUUCCUUCUUUGUCAAUUUAUACAACUCGUAUAAUCACUUUACUUAAUGUUUUUAAUAUAUUUAUAUAAUGUAUAUAUACCUUUCUUAACAUAAUAUACAUAAUACAAUCAUAGGUGGAGAUAGUUAGGGAUUUUAUGAUUUUAUUUCCUUGGAUAGAUUUACUUGUACACCAACAAAUAACUCACUCUUGGAAUAAUACGAUAAGGAGAUUUUCUCCAUUGUCUCUUUAUUUUACAUGGUAUCAAAGUCAGGUACACCCCGGUAUGGGCUCUCCAUCCACGCUGCCAUUGGGUCUGGCAUGAAAGUAGUGUUUAAGUGGGUUAAAGUCCCACAAUGUUGUGGAAUGGACUAACAGUUUGUUUAUAUGGAUUUGCGCAAUCCUUCACUCCUAACCCAACUUUUAAGGUUGUUAGGCUAAGGUGACAUAUCUUUACAUGGUAUCAGAGCGUCGUUCUAAUUACUUUGGCUCAAAAUAUUUGUCGUAAGUUAGAUAUGGUACAAAGGAGGUACCUGGGGAUUCGGAUUUCAAUCUCACAGUCGUUCUAUAGAGGACCGUCUCAUUACGACCUAUAGUACCGGUGGUCGGCAGAUAAGCGUUGAGUCUCACGCAUCAAAGAACUACUUCUGGUAGUUUCUGUGUUGGACGCGUGUAUGGCUUCCGAAUCAAACCAGGUUUCCAGUAACACCAUCGCCUCAAUAUUUUCGAUCAAAACUUGGUGGUCUCAUGUUCAACAGACCUCGGUUGGAAAGGUUUCAAAACACUCCAGGUUUCAUCAACCUGGUUUUCUUUGGGCCAAAUCACUUGAUGUCUUAUAUGUUGAUUUGGGUGUUUGGUUACUUCUGAAUCUCCAUAUUCUUGGUAGAAUUUCACUAUGAGUCUCUAGAUUGUUGAUUGUUUAUUCUUAGUGAAGAAUUAUAUGUUGAUUGGGUCCAGCAAGUUCUAUGAAUUGUUGAGCUUUUGGAGAUCUAUUGAGGUAUUUCUAUUUGGUGCAGUUUUGUUGGUUUCCUAUUAUUGGUAAGGUUAUAGAGAUUUGAUAAGUUCUUAUGUUCCUUGAUGUUUUGAUGAUCUCCUUAUAAGUGCAGGGACCUGGUCCUCUACAGAGUAUGAAUACUCGUCCAGUGGUCAAAGUGAUGUACAGCUGGAAAGCUGUCUGUAUCAGAAGGUUGGUGAAGCUGCAGCGUACUCCACUAAUCAGAAGCGAUGAGGUUGCUUGUUCAUUGGAUAAUAACUUUUCAUGUCUAAAUAUAUCCAAGGAAAAACAACAAACUAAUUCAGUCAUAUUCUCAAGAACUUACCAAGAGAAGUUUGCAAGGGACCUGGUCCUUGCAAGACUGCGAUGUGAAAGGAUGACAAGACAGCUGUUAGAAAAGCUGCCACUUCUGAUGUGGUAGGUGCACAACUUUUCUAAACAGCAGGCUCUCAGCCAAUGGGCGGUCCCAAGGAGUUUGUGUUCAUUUUAAUAUAGUCUCUUCCAACAAAACAAAAACUCAAGAUUUUGGCAAAUAAAAACUCAAAAGCUUAAAAGGAAAAAGCCAUCUUCAAGGUAGAACGAUACUUACACUCAACAAAAGAAUCUGAUAAAGGGCUGAAGCAUCUUUGUUGAGUUUGAGUUUUGUGUCUAUCAUUUUAUAGGUUUUUGCAUCUUGAAAAUUCUCAAGUAUACAAGCANNNNNNNNNNNNNNNNNNNNNNNNNNNNNNNNNNNNNNNNNNNNNNNNNNNNNNNNNNNNNNNNNNNNNNNNNNNNNNNNNNNNNNNNNNNNNNNNNNNNNNNNNNNNNNNNNNNNNNNNNNNNNNNNNNNNNNNNNNNNNNNNNNNNNNNNNNNNNNNNNNNNNNNNNNNNNNNNNNNNNNNNNNNNNNNNNNNNNNNNNUCUUACUCUAAAGUCUAUAUUAAUCGGUUAGGAUUAGUAUAGUGGGCGGUGUUGUAUCCGCUUAGCAAAGUCUAAGUUAUCUAGGGGUGAUAGCUUAGUGGGCAGUGUUGUAUCUGCUUAGGCUCAUCUAAGUAAUAGGAUAUAUUACUUAGUGUGGAGAUUAGUAGGUUAAUCUCAUUUUGUAAACUGGCUUUUACUUUUGCUUUGAGAAGAUUAGUGGAAGCAGUUUGAAAAGUCCUGGCAGGCCAGGUCGUGGUUUUACUCCCUUGAGCAAGGAGGUUUCCACGUAAAGUUGUUGUGCAAUCUUUACUUUCCGCACUUUGUUUAUUUUCUGUUAUUGUAACUGUGCUGAGGACCUGGUCCCAUCUAGACUAGUGGACACAUACAUUCCAACAAGAUCUGUUGGGGUAUUUCUGGUUAGUGUAAUUUGGCUGGUUUCCCCACUCUUGUUAAUUUGUUUGGAAAAUGGCUGAUUGUGAUAAGAGAGCUCAAAGUUCUAAAGUUGUUACAUCUGACACCAUGAUUUGGUUCGGAGAGCAAUUUCCUAAUUUAUCCCAAUAUCAUAAAUUACUUAAAGAAAUCUGAUACAGGUAAGGCUUUUGCUAAGUUGUAUAAAACGUGUUAUGUCACCUCUUCAAAUUUUAAUCUAUUGCAUGCUCCAGUGUUGUGUCAACAUUUGGAGCACAUUGUCAAUUGGGACACCCUUCUCUACCUUAGUUGAAGAAGCUAUGCCCUCAAUUUCAUAAUAUUUCUUCAUUGGAAUGUGAGUCAUGUCGAUUUGCAAAACACUAUCACAUUUCGCCAGGUCCAAGGGUUAAUAAAUGAGUUUACUCAGGUUUUGAGGUAGUUUUUUCUAAUGUUUGGGACCAUGUCCUAUUGUUUCUGAAAUUGAGCAUAAAUAUUUUGUCACUUUUGUAGAUGAUUUUUCUCGAUAACUUAGAUUUACUUUAUAAGAGUCAAUCUGAAGUGUUCACUUACUUUUUUUUUCAUGACGAAGGAAACCCGCAACCGCUACCAUUUAGAUGCGCACAAGGUAAAACUCUCACUCCUAUGCAAUAGCUCGUAAAUCACAUAGGAGAGGUAACCCGCAUUGGGCAAGCCCGGUGCGUCGAUCUCAACCUAGAAGGCAAACCUCUUGCUUUCGCUUGCAAGGGGUUUCGAACUUGAGACCUCCAACAUGGAAGUCCCAAGCCCAAACCACUAGGCCACCCUGAAGGGUAACCAACCUGAAGUGUUUACUUACUUUUAAGCAUUUUGUGCUAAAGUCAAAACUCAAUUUAAUCACGCGUACUUGUUGCAUAUUCUAAGGAAUGAUAAUGCAAAAGAAUAUAUGUCAAAAUUAUUUUGACCCUACAUAAGACAACAUGGUAUUCUCCACCAGUUUUCAUGUGUGGAUACACCCUCUCAAAAUUGAGUUCUUGAAAGGAAGAAUAGGCAUUUACUAGAGACAACUCGGACACUUUUGUUCCUAUUGAAAGUCCCUAAACAAUUUUGGCAAAUUCCAAUCUCUACAACUUAUUUUUUGAUUAAUCGCAUGCCUUCUGGCGUGCUUGCUGAUGAUGCCCCUUACAAUGUGCUCUUUCCAAACAAGUUACUAUUUUCGAUGGAGCCUAGGGUGUUUGGGAGCACAUGCUAUAUUUGAGAUGUUCGAUCAUUUGUUACCAAGUUGGAGCCCAAGGCAUUGAAGUGCGUUUUCUUGGGCUACUCUUCCUUUAGAAGAUAUAUCGAUGUUAUUCUACUAAAUUGGCAAAUAUAUAUCUAGUGUCAACUAAUGUAGUAUUUUUAAAGACUACACCAUUCUUCUAUACACCUCCCAUUUCUUCAAUUCAGGGAGAGGAAGACAAGUGGUUAAUCUAUCAAGUUACUAAUUCAUACAGAAGAAACGGUUCCCUAUUGAUUCAGAGCAAUCAAAUGAUGUUGUUCCUCUAUCUCUUAGUUCUUCUAUUGAGCAUUCUACAUUUUCUCUAUCUUUGUCAGCACGAUGGCCAAUUGUUCAAGUUUACUGAAGAAGUCGAGAAAUCGAUUAUACAUCUCCUACAUCAAUUUCUUCAUCAUCGGAUCCUCCUCCACUAUUACUAUUCAAAAAAGUACACAUCAGUGCAAAUCUACAUAUUCCACUGUGUAACAUCCGACAAUUUAAAAUGAAUAUGAAGAAGCUUGAAAUUGGAAGUGAAUCUGGAAAUUUUGGCUAAGUUCAAAAUCUGGAAAUUUGGCCAAGUGUGGAAAUCAGUGAGUUUUUGGCCAACUUUGAGCAAUCAUAACUCCUAGCUCAGGAUGAUCCAGGAGUAGUUCCAGUGAUUUUUGGAAAGCCCUUGGAACGAUCUUUCCAACGCCACCGAGUUUUCUCGAUUCGGAGUUCGUAUGAGCGAGUUAUGCCCUUUGAAAGUUGGGCAGUUGGCAGGGAGUCCGUCCGGAAAUUUAAGGGCAUUUUUGGUCUUUUCACAAAUCAUUUCUUUUGAGGAUAUAUUGUUGUGUUAGUCUGAUUGUGGAUCAUUUUGUUCCAUUUUAAAAGAGUAAGAAUUAGGGUUCUUGAGUGAAGAAGAGAAGAAGAAGAGGAGAUCAAGGAGUUUCCGACAAAGAUCGUCGUGGAAAUCGUCGGGGGUGAUCCCUAUCAAGGUAUGUGAGUUCUUUGUGUAGGUUGAUCCUUUCCCCCACACACCAAGCUCAUUUUAUGAUUUUGAGAAAAAGAUUUGGAAUUGUUGUUGAAGUUGUUGAAGUUGUUAGUUGUUGUUGAGGUUGUUAGUUGUGUUGUUAAAGUUAUUGUUCGUUGUGGGACAUGAUUGGGUUGUGUAUUUGAGUUGAAUCUCUUGUAUGUUGAGGGAUUUUAUGAUCCUUAGUGUUGGUUGGUUCAUACCCUCACACACCAACUCGUUUUUAAUUCCAAGAAAAGAUAGAUCUUGGUUGUUGAAGUUGUUGGUUUUGUGCGAGGAGCACGUCCGCGUCGCGGACUUGUUCCCUCUGUGAACAAAAAUCUUCUCCGCGUCGCGGACAGGACGCGGACUCCACUGUUUUCAGAAUUUAAUUUUGUAAUUCUUCUUAAGUUUAGCUGUCCUAAAUUAUUCCUAAUCAUCAUGGGGUCCUUCCAAACACAAAUCAUUACCCUUGAAUUCAUAAUCCAAUUCAAGGAGAGUUAGUUCCAAGUCAAGUAAAGUUAUAAGUCAAGUGAAGUUAAGAGUUAAGCUUAGAAGUGAAGUAAGUCAAAGCAAGUUUUCAAAGUUGUUCAAGAGUCUUUAGUGAAUGUUUUAGCUUCAUUUUUAAGACUCAAGUUUCAAGUCAAGUAAAAGGGUAUAGAGUUUCAAGUCAAGUAAAGGGUAUAGAGUUUCAAGCCAAGUGAAGAGUCUCAAAUUUCAAGUUAGGUCAAGAGCAUAAAGUCGAGUCCAUUUCUCAAAAGUUAUUAGGGAACUAUGUAUUUCCCAAAGAAGUUUCUAAAUGUUUUUACAUUUAAGUAAGAAAGGAACAUCGAUUCCAAGAGAGCCUUUGGGCUAGAUUUUGAGUAAUUACCUCAAACUAAAGAAAGAUGUGUUUAAAGACACUUAUGAGCCAAAGUAUUUUGGGAGUAGUAUUGAGCACCGAAUUGGGGACACGAGUUCAUAUUAACUCAACUCUCCAUAAGAACCAUGCGCCAACAUAGGACUUGACGUAUCAUGCUUUUUAGAGGAUUACGUAAGAUUAAGCUAGUGGAUCCACUAAGCAAUAGUAAGGUCCUAUAUCACGGCAAGGUAUAGGAUGGUCCUUGGGCAACGUGAGGUAAAACGUUGUAUCAUCACUAGGGCUCAUAGUGGUGGUUGUCGGUUAAAGAAUCUCCAACUAAAGUUAUAUUACUUUUAUAUAAGUAAAGUUGAAUUGUUAUUGUUUUAUCAUUAACAAGCUAAGUUGUUUAUAUUGUUUUACAAGCUUUAUAUAUUGCAUGUGUCUCAUUGCUUUAUAUAUUGAGUUCAGUUAUUCAUGAGUCGUACAGAGCCAAGGUAAGUGUUCUCUUGUACUCCUCUUAAGCUUAAGUUGUGGUUCAGCUUUCCAGCUCGCAUACUCGUACAUUCCAUGUACUGACGCCAGUUGGCCUGCAUCUUAUUAUGAUGCAGACGCAGGUACCCAGGAUCAGCAUCCAGUACGCCGUUGAUCCAACUGAGCACUCCAGAGUCAGUGGUGAGCCUCCUUGCAUUUCGGAGGACUCAAUUAUUUUGUGUUCUUAGUUUUGUUUUAUUAGGGUGUUGCGGGGUCUGUCCCAACAUCCAUCUCAGUAUUUUAGAGGCUUCAUAGACAGUUAGUCAUUUAGUUUUGAGUCUCUCAUCUAUGUAUAUAUGUAAGUAUUCUAUUUUGAGAUUUAAGUUGCCUUUGUGGCUAGAUUUUAUAAGUUAAGUUGUUUUCUAACCUUGCAUUAGCAUUGAGUUAUUCUGUUGGGUUAGGUUUCCGCUGAGUUAAGAAAGUCAGGCCAAGGGUUCGCUUGGGGCCAGAAAUGGUCUCUGGGUGCCAGUCUCGUCCAGGGUGUAGGCUCGGGGCGUGACACAUUGUUAAUUUUGUUUCUUAUGACCACUUAUUUUAUGUAUCUAGUUGCUUGAUCUCCUUUAUAGACCUAUCUCAGUACCCGAAUAGUGAAGGAAAGCUUGAAUCAUCCUGAAUGACAUGAUGCAAUGCUUGAGGAGAUACAUUCUUCAGAUGAGAAUCACUCAUAGGAUUAGGUGGAGUUUCCCAAAGGAAAGAAGACGAUAGGAUGCUAGUGGGUUUUUGCAAUCAGUUAGUCUUGAUAGCUCUAUUGCAAGACUUAAGGCGAGACUUGUGGCUAAAGUCUAUACUCAGACUUAAGGGGUGGAUUAUUUCUCCUCAAUAGCCAAGCUCACCUUUGAUCACUUAUUUAAAUACAAAGCUUUAACUCAAAAGAAAACACAAUAUAAAAUAAAUAAUUCAACUCGCCCUAAAAUAGGCAUCUUAAGUUUUUAAAACAUUUAAUAAAAUAAAUGAUACAGACUUCUCAACGAUACAGACUAUCUAUGAAGCCUCUAACUGAUAAAGAUGGAAGUCGGGACAAGACCCACGACAUCCUAACAACUGCUAUAACUGAAAAGUAAAUGAAAUCCUCCGUAAGCAAGGAAGCUUACCAUAGAUAACUCGAACUCCCGGAUGUAUUAACGAAUCUCAUAUUAAUGAUCCUGAAUACCUAUGUUUGCAUCAUGAAAAGAUGCGGGCCAAAUGGCUCAAUAUGUGGAAUGUAAGAGCAUGUAAAGGGAAUUCUAAAACAUGAACAUAAGCUUGAAAAGAAUCUGAAAGAAACUGAAGAACUUACCUGGCUCAACAUAACUGAACUCAUUUCAAUAUAAAGCAAUUUAAACCAUGUGCAAUAUAAAGAAACGUUGUUUGAAAACAUGAUGUCAACUCUGUGUGUAUUCAAUGAUACAUAUAACUCUGAGAUGUAUGUAAAAAUACAAAUAAUUUGAUGUAUAUAAAAAUACAAAAUACUGUUGUGGGAGUUUCUCUAACCGACAACCAUCACAUAAGAGCUAUUGUGAUGAUACAGCGAUCUUCCUCAUGAACUACUAAGUGGAUCCACUAGUCUAUGCGAAAAGGAUUCAUCUAAAAAAGUAUGACCAUUUUCUACCCAUGGUGGCUACAUGGUUUAUGGCGGCUCGGGGUUUCCUGAACCCUCCCCCAUAUCGAUGCUCAAUACUACUCCCAAAAUAUACUAGCUCUUUAUGUUUUAAAAACAUACUUCGUUCUGUGAUUUGAAAUUAGUGCUCAAAAACUUAGCUCAAAGACUAUCUUGGAAAUCAAAGUUUCCCCUCUUGCUUCAUUUAGAAAGCGAUUACCCUUUUCUGAAAACUAGCCCGAAGGCUCUUUGGAAAUAUCAGUUUUCCGUUCUUAUUUAAAUGUGAAAACAUUUUAAAUCUCUUUGGGAAUACUUAGUCCCCAUAUACUUUUUGAAGAAAGAACUUCAACUUUACUCUUUACUGAACUCAAAACUUAAGUCUUAAAACAAAGUUAAAACGUUUGUAAAAGACUUGUUAAAAUAUUGUUCAUGCCGAAUUAUGGACAUGAACGACUCAAUGCAAGGUUUUCAACAACCAUAGAUAGAACUCAAAUACUUGGAACUUAAGAAUUUCAAUGAUACUACUCAUUUCAAGAAUGCUCAACUCAGAGUUCAUGCGGAAUUAUGAGCAUGAACUACUCAACUCAAUGACUCAAAGAUACUUCUCAUCUCAAGACUGUUCGACUUAUAAUAUUCAUGCGGAAUUAUGAGCAUGAAAUAUUCAACUCAAGGACUCAAAGAUUACUUCUCAAAAGGGAUUAGGAACUCAACACCUAAAGGCUUAGAACUUGAAUAUACCACUUUUCUGAAAGAUGUUCGACUUACGAAGUUCAUGUGAAAUUGUGGGCAUGAAACAACUUGACUCGAUGGUCUACAUAACUAUAUGGAAAUCAUGUAUAUGACUCUUCUUAUUCUAUGACUUACUUCCUCAAAAUCAUUCCUCAAAUCGAUACUCUUCUCAUUCUCUUACUUACUUACUCAAAACUUAACUCAAAUUGAUGAUGGAUUUCAAAGGUUUCACAAUUUAACUCAAAGGCUUUCUUGAACUCUACUCUUAACUCUCUCUUGAAUGUGAAUUAUGAAUUCAAGAGUUAUGGUUCAUGAUAUGAAGGAUAUCAUGAUGACAAAGUAAACUCAUGAAUACAUUCUCCUCAUCCUCAUAAUCACUUGCUCGAGUCUUGAAACAAAUUACUAGAAGUUGUAGAAGACUCUACAAUAGAAUUCAAAGGGACUUUCUUAGAAUGUUCGAAAGAAUUCUCAAAAACUUAACUCUCGACUCUACCUUGAAUUUGAAUUAUGAAUUCAAGGUUAUGAUCAUGUUAGGAAUGAUUUUAGGUGUUUAGAAGUAGCUUAGAGUAGUUAGAAUCGAAAAAGAGUGAAGGUACCCUUCGAAAGAACUCAAACGGAGCAACCGAUUGCAAACUGGACGGGCAAGCGACCCUGGGGCAAUGGGUGGCGCGGAGCGCCAGCCCCUAACAUUCCGAGCCUACUUUGGGGCGCUCUGGCUGGCGCGACACGCCAUACCCCAACCCAGAAAAUGCGACGAAUUUCUUUGGUCGUUUUCUCACCCUAACUCGUCUAGAAUCGAACGAUUUCUUCCCAAUCACUUAGAAUCAAUUACUUAACAUAAGUACACUCUAAUCUACUCAAUACAGACCUUAAAACACUCACUUUGAUCUCAAGAAAUCAUCAAAAACCCAACACAACAAGAUUUAUAAAGAACUUCAAGAACACCUAUCAAGAACUUAAAUCCUUCAACUUUUUGAGAAUGAAACUUCGCUGAAAAUAAUAUGUUUGGUGUGUGGGUGAACAAACCCAACACUAUGGAAGCUUACAUACCUCUUAGAUAUUAAACCCAUGGCGAAAAUCCGCAACAAAACGCAAGACUCUCGACGAACACUUUGAUCAUCUCCUCUUUUCUCUUCUUGAACUCUAAACUAAAACCCUAGGGUAAUUUUAGGAUUAUAAAACUGAACCUAAUAGGAUUAGACCCUUAAAACCUUACUAAAAACGAAUUAAAUCUGAUUGGGUAAGGAAAAGACCAAAAUAUCCCUCACUAUUCCGAUUUUGACUUUCUUUAACUGGGCAGCCUAACUUCAAAAGGCCAUAUCUCACUCAUCCGAACUUGAAAGUUAGCAAACUCGGUGGCGUUGGAGAGAUAAUUCAAAGAUCUUUCCUACGGUAUCUGGUAGCACACCUAACUCAUCCUGACCUAGGAGUUAUGGUCGUUUGAAGUUGACCCAAAACUCAUAUUUAGCUUAACUUGCAAAAUUUCAGAUUUCGCUAUUUCCCAUUCGAUUCUUUUUCGAACUCAAGGUGCUACAUCUAGUGAACUUAACACUUAAGAAAUUUUAAAUUCCUCGGUAAAAUCCUACUGACAACAAAGGAUGGUUCAAGUCUUAGCUCAAAACUUUUCUGGGGUGUUACAAUAACGACCUAUAAGAAAUAUCAGCAGAAGUAAGUCUCACCUUUGAAGAGAGUAUUAUGCAACGCCAAUAUCAGGAACUGAAGCAAAAACAACACAGAGAAAAUUAAACAGAGCAAAACAAAGUAAGGAAGAGGAUUGAAAAUACAGUGUAAUGACAAAUCAAGUGUUGAUUGCCAAGUUUUACAAUGACCUACGUCAUUCCGUAAAGAUAUAUACAUACAGACAUGACACUGUAUCACAACUACAGCCAAAAUAUGACAAAAUUUGGUGACAACUCAGAUAACAUUGUGUAGAAUAACUUGUUAAUGUAGUGUUCUUACUCCUUAGCGGCUUAUAUAAAUACUACACGGACCCAACAUGCUUCGUUUAAUGUAACGAUUUUCAUUGUAAUAAUACAACUUAAGCAGUUAAGUACGCUUAGCUGCCAAAUGCCUCUAUAUUAACAUAGGCAGAACAUGGCACAUUCAUGUACAUAUUCAAAACAUAUAAACAAACUGUAAAAACCAAAAACAAAUUCAUAUUGAUGUUUAAAUAGAUAUAAUAACCAACCAUCCACUGUACCAGACCUAUUAAUCUGAAUAGGGAUUAAUGAUCUGCAGCCCUAACAGUCAGCAGAGGCUUCCAAUCUAUUGGUAUGAUACUGAAAAAGUGUUUAUUUUUAAAAAGAGGGGGAAAAAUUGGGGGUAGGAGAAGCGGAAAUGGGAGAGAGGAAUGCAAGAUGUGGAAUCAAACCCUCACCAACAACAUGAAAGUUCAAAUAACCAACCUACUAACUGAACUAAUAAGGUUGUUCAAUUUGCUAGACAACAUUAUCCUUGCCCUGGCUGUCAUUCUUUCUCUUUAUUUGAACUAGGCUCUGCUUGUAAUUGAAAACCCAAGAGCGACCCAUGAUUAGGUCCAGCUGAAAGCCAAGAUCUAUAACUUGUCUUGUUGUAGGGUCAUAUAAUACCAACUGUGAAGUUUCUGUGAUUUCGAAAAUCAUCUUAUCAUCCUCCCAGACGCUGCGAGGCCAAUGAGCAACUAUUUGAGGUUGAACAUUAAGAACUUUGGUCCAACUACCCUCUAGGUUCAUCGCCCACACAUCAUAUAUGGAUGUCAUUGGUUUACCAGGAUCACCAACUAAGAUAGCAAGUGAGUCACCAUGCAACAUAAGCUUUCCCCACUGUGCCUUUGGGAUAUCCGGGCCUUGCAUCUCCCCAAAUUGUUCGCUGCCCAUAUCAAACGAGCAUAUGCGGAAGAUAUUGUCUAGACGCCCAGAGAGCCAAUAAUAUACCCCGUUGAGAUGUGUAGCACCAAUGGACUCGUGUAAGUUACAACAGUCAGGGAAAUCAGGUCUCAGGUUCCUCCAUGAGUUGUUGCGUAAGGAAUAGACACUAACAAUGCAAUUAGGGGAAACGCCCAGUCCCCAGUCAUCCCAAAAUGUUCGAAUACAUAGAACCUUAUAAUCUCGAGUCAACGGGUCAAACCCCAAUGCAAACUGAUUAUCA
rnacentral:lncRNA from 1 species